GCUAGUUUACACUUAACAAUGAUUAAUAAUGUUUAAAACUUUUUUUUUUUUUUUUGAAAAUUUUCGGGGUUGUGGCAGUAUAAUCACUGGCUACAGAUUGUUUAUACAGGUGUAUAUAAGAAUAUUACAUAUUUUCAUUUCCUGUUUUCAAUUAUUCCCUGUACUUUUAUAUAUCCUGUCGUUCGAUCUGGUCACCACAUCACCACAUGACAAACUUUCAAACUUCAAAAAUACACAGACGGCAUUGUUUAUAUUUGUACUGCUUCGUAUACAGAAGCAGAUUAAAAUUUCUUAUUUUUCUAAGGAAU
rnacentral:lncRNA from 1 species